ensembl:lncRNA
CCUGUGUGUGUGUGUUUGUGUGUGUGUGUGCGUGCGUGUGUGUGUGUAUGUGUGUCUGUGUGUGUGCGUGUGUGUGUGUGUGUGUGUAUGUGUGCGUGUGUGUAAUAAAGGCCUUGGACACACAAAGGAUGUUCUUCUUCACCUUCACCUAUGGGAAGCUGAGCCACACGGCGAGGAUUAGAUUGUAAUCAUAGAAAUCAUAACCUCCCUCUCUCGCUCUCCCUGCCUCUCUCUUUCUCUCCCUAUCUGUUUCUGUUUCUCUGUCUGUCUCGUUCUCCCUCCUCCUCUCUGUCUCUCCAUUUCUCUUGUUCUCCCCCUGUUCUCUCUGUUUCUGUAUAUCUCUAUCAUGCUCUCUCUCCCUCCCUCCCCUUUUUCUCGCUCUUUGUUUCUGUUUCUCUCUCUCAUUCUCCCUCUCUCCCUCCCUCUGUCUUUCUGUUUCUCUAUUUCUCUUUUUCUCCUGUUACGUACCAAGCUACUCUCCCAGCUUGUUAAAUAUCAGAUACACUCAAAAUGACAGAAAGGAGGCCAGUAACAAGGACGUGUGUGUGUGUGUGUGUGUGUGUGUAGCAAAAUAAAUCAAACUUAACUGAGAUGGUCUGGCACCUGACGGACCCCCAGAGAGUUGAGGAUUACCUUCUGCCCUACUGAAGGAUGGCCUUCUCCAGCGUCCUCGUUCAGUCUUGCCCGCGCGCUUUGAUUCCUUUUGGUUGUGUUUGUUUAGUCUUUUUUUUUUUUUUGUCUUUUGUCAUAAAACUCUGGCUGGCACUUCCUACUCCCGGUGUCCCGUGUGGUUUGUGAAAAUGCGAUGGCUAUGAGUCACUUCUAUUGGUGUGGCUACAGGUGAUUAGCUGGAACACAACAAAACACACUUGCCGUGGAGCCAAGCUAACCCACCUCCCUCUUGGCCGAUCAGGCCUGAGAAAAACCCUCCUUUUCCGGAAGUCCCCCAACACCGUACUUAUCCGCCCAUACACAGGAACUACUCCUGCUGCAGCAACUCCAUUGAUACGAUACCUCACGCAGUCACACCAUUUUCAACACCAUGUCUCCAUCAGUGCUGUUAAAGGGUCAGCCGCAGGGUCAGCUGCAGAAGGAUGCAGCAGGUGCCAGUAAUGAAUUAAACAAUGAAAUAAACCAAAUAUAAAAUCAUGUAAAUGUACUAGUGUGUAUACGUGUACACAACACUCCCCUUGUCUCUCUCUCUCUCUCUCUCUCUCUCUCUGUGUGUGUUUCUGUACAUCUAUCUCAUGCUCUCUCCUUCUCUCCCUCUCACCAAUCCUCUGCUCUCUCAGUCUCUUUCUUUCUAUCUCUGGCCAGAGUGCAUGAAUUGUGCAUGAAUAUGUGGGUGUCUGUAUGUCUCUGUGUGUGCUUGUGUGAAUGUGUUUAUAUACAUGUGUGUGUAUAUGUGUUUGUCU